rnacentral:rRNA from 1 species
CAAUAGCGUAUAUUAAAGUUGUUGCGGUUAAAAGCUCGUAGUUGGAUUUCUGUUGAGGGCAAGCGGUCCGCACUUUGUGCGAGUAUCUGUUUUGACCUCGGCAUCCUCUUGAAGAACGAUACUGUGAUUCAGUUCGUGGUUCGGAAUUCAAGACUUUUACUUUGAGGAAAUUAGAGUGUUCACGGCAAGCAAUCGCUUUGAAUACAUUAGCAUGGAAUAAUAAUAUAGGACCUUGGUACUAUUUUGUUGGUUUCUAGAACUAAGGUAAUGAUUAAUAGGGAUAAUUGGGGCAUUCGUAUUAAGACGUCAGAGGUGGAAUUCUUGGACCUUCGGAAGACUAACAGCUGCGAAAGCGUUUGCCUAGGAUGUUCUCUUUAAUCAAGAACGAAGGUUGGGGAUCGAAGACGAUCAGAUACC